rnacentral:rRNA from 1 species
GAUGAACGCUGGCGGCGUGCCUAAUACAUGCAAGUCGAGCGAACAGAUAAGGAGCUUGCUCCUUUGACGUUAGCGGCGGACGGGUGAGUAACACGUGGGUAACCUACCUAUAAGACUGGAAUAACUCCGGGAAACCGGGGCUAAUGCCGGAUAACAUUUAGAACCGCAUGGUUCUAAAGUGAAAGAUGGUUUUGCUAUCACUUAUAGAUGGACCCGCGCCGUAUUAGCUAGUUGGUAAGGUCACGGCUUACCAAGGCAACGAUACGUAGCCGACCUGCGAGGGUGAUCGGCCACACUGGAACUGAGACACGGUCCAGACGCCUACGGGAGGCAGCAGUAGGGAAUCUUACGCAAUGGGCGAAAGCCUGACGGGGCAACGCCGCGUGAGUGAUGAAAGUGUUCGGUGCGUAAAACUCUGUUAUUAGGGAAGAACAAAUGUGUAAGUAACUGUGCACGUCUUGACGGUACCUAAUCAGAAAGCCACGGCUAACUACGUG